rnacentral:rRNA from 1 species
UACGGGGGGGGCAAGCGUUGUUCGGAAUUACUGGGCGUAAAGGGCUCGUAGGCGGCCAACUAAGUCAGACGUGAAAUCCCUCGGCUUAACCGGGGAACUGCGUCUGAUACUGGAUGGCUUGAGGUUGGGAGAGGGAUGCGGAAUUCCAGGUGUGGCGGUGAAAUGCGUAGAUAUCUGGAGGAACACCGGUGGCGAAGGCGGCAUCCUGGACCAAUUCUGACACUGAGGAGCGAAAGCCAGGGGAGCAAACGGG